rnacentral:rRNA from 1 species
ACGUAGGGUGCGAGCGUUAAUCGGAAUUACUGGGCGUAAAGGGUGCGUAGGCGGCUAUGUAAGUCAGGAGUGAAAGUUUGCGGCUCAACCGUAAAAUUGCUUUUGAUACUGCAUGGCUGGAAUUAGGAUGAGGUCAGCGGAAUGUGGCAUGUAGCGGUGAAAUGCAUAGAUAUGCCAUAGAACACCAAUUGCGAAGGCAGCUGGCUAGACCUGGAUUGACGCUGAGGCACGAAAGCGUGGGGAGCGAACAGGA